GUGCAUUCUUGGGCCAACAGUAUUCAUGAAUUCUAUUUAUCCCUUCUGUGUGAAGUCACUCCUCAAGGAAUUAUUGGCUCUGAGUGACAAAGGUGGUUCACUGAGGACUCUGAAGUUUUAUGACAGUUUCAUCAAUACCUUAAAGCUUGAGGUUAUGGAUGAGGUCCUGCACCAGGGUGGUGGCUUUGUGGAUUGAGAAAAUAAGACAUAUAUGACAAGACUUGGCAACAUACUUCCUAUAUGGGGUUUUAGACAUCUAAUCCAAAAGAACAUUCAUGAUACAAGACUAGAACUCAAGAGUUCCUAGGACUGGAUAUAAGAGAUCUAAUAAUCAUCUUCAUAGACAAGGCAAUUGAAUCCAUGUGAACAGAUGAAAUCACCAACUGAGACAAGAUAGAGUGUCUGGAGAAGAAAUGGAAUCUUAAAAAUUAAGAAUUUAAAGGAACCUCAAAAUGAGCUAGUACAAAGGUUCUUAACCUGGAGUCCAUAAAAUUAAAAAAAAUUCUUAUGAUAAUAUUUUAAUGUAAUUGUCCUUUGUAGUCACAUGUAUUUCAUUUUAUGCAUUCCAAAACAUUAUUCUAAGUAGCUCAUACUUCCCCAGAUUGAUAAAAGAGAUCCAUGACACAAAAAUUUAAGAAUCCCUGAUCAUCCAAGAUACCUCUAACCAUUUAGAGAAAUUAGCCAGCAAAACAUGUCAAGGUUUUUAUCAAUUAAAGCAGAAAUUUUCAAAGUGUGGAUAUGCCUUAUUUUUUGAAAGGAAACAAAAUACUCUGGGACUACCAAGAAGUGUGUGCAUGCAUAUACAUGCAUAUGUGUAGUGAAGCAAUAGCCAAAAUUAUUUGAUAUCUUUUGUUACAGUUCUCAAACCAACAUAUGUACCCCUUUCAAUAAAAAUUUGAAAUCAAACA
rnacentral:lncRNA from 1 species